rnacentral:rRNA from 1 species
GACGAACGCUGGCGGCGUGCUUAACACAUGCAAGUCGAACGGAAAGGCCCUGCUUUUGUGGGGUGCUCGAGUGGCGAACGGGUGAGUAACACGUGAGUAACCUGCCCUUGACUUUGGGAUAACUUCAGGAAACUGGGGCUAAUACCGGAUAGGAGCUCCUGCUGCAUGGUGGGGGUUGGAAAGUUUCGGCGGUUGGGGAUGGACUCGCGGCUUAUCAGCUUGUUGGUGGGGUAGUGGCUUACCAAGGCUUUGACGGGUAGCCGGCCUGAGAGGGUGAACGGCCACAUUGGGACUGAGAUACGGCCCAGACUCCUACGGGAGGCAGCAGUGGGGAAUAUUGCACAAUGGGCGGAAGCGUGAUGCAGCAACGCCGCGUGCGGGAUGACGGCCUUCGGGUUGUAAACCGCUUUCGCCUGUGACGAAGCGUGAGUGACGGUAAUGGGUAAAGAAGCACCGGCUAACUACGUG